AGAAUAGUUAACAGUGAUUCUGUGCUCUGGGAAGGAACUUGCUGCUGAGAGUGCCAGUCUGCGAGGUUUUUGCUUUAAUGUCUGGACGGAGGAGAAGUCUAGAGUAGCUGAUGUGUAUUCGAGGUCAGCAUAGUGUAUGGAAGAGCAUCAGUUGUCAUGCUUAUGGCAUUUUAUUAGUAGGGAUGACUGACCAUCACUAGAGUUAACUGGCAUAACCAGUGCUUGAAGAUUUAAGUGGAACUAGAUGGUACCAUGUGCCAGGAUGUACAGGCUCCCUAGGGAGGACUCU
rnacentral:lncRNA from 1 species